ACUUGUGUGUGUUUGUAUUUUUUUAUUGACGUAGUGAAACAUGUUGAAAACGAAAUUGGUUCAUGGAAUAUUGAAAACGCCAUGUCUCCAAACGUUAGAGAGAAACUAAGACGAGACACACAUAAUGGAUUCGCUUCGAUGAUAGUUAGUUUAAUAUUAGGGCUUUUAGCAGGCAUAAUGAUAGGCGCACUUGAAGAUGAAGAUAAACACUUUAUAAUUGCCACGCAGUUCAUAAAAUAUUUGCCUGAGGGAAAAAUUACCAUAUUUUUCAUUAAUUCAGUUAGAUUCUUCUGUUAUCUCUCGGCUUACCUAAUUGCAGUGGCGCCUGCCCAUCAUAUGGUUUAUGGUUUACGUAAUAAUGGAAAGAAUGGAAAGAAUAAAUUAUGGGUGUGAAAAUCUACAGUAUAUAAAACUAAACGAAAAUUAUCAAAAGGCAGUGUCAGAAAGACUUGUAUGGAGUAUAAAAUUACACGUUAAGAAUUGCAUGCUCGGACGUGAAGUCGAAAGAAGGACAAAAGUUUUAAUGCUUCCCUUUAAGAUAUGUGGUAAUUUGAUGUUUGUGAGUCUUGCCGCUUAUUAUUUCUCUAUUGGAAGCUUUUCGUUAAGUUGGGAUAUUCUGCGACUUAUUAGCUUGAUAUCUAUUUCACGGUUUACCUUAUUUACGCUCA